GAUGGGCAUGCGUGCCAUUAGCUAGUUGGCGGGGUAACGGCCCACCAAGGCAACGAUGGCUAGGGGGUCUAAAAGGAUGAUCCCCCACACUGGUACUGAGACACGGACCAGACUCCUACGGGAGGCAGCAGUGAGGAAUAUUGGUCAAUGGGCGCGAGCCUGAACCAGCCAUCCCGCGUGCAGGAAGACGGCCCUAUGGGUUGUAAACUGCUUUUUUAUGGGAAGAAAAAGACUUACGAGUAGGUCCCUGACGGUACCAUAAGAAUAAGCAUCGGCUAACUCCGUGCCAGCAGCCGCGGUAAUACGGAGGAUGCGAGCGUUAUCCGGAUUUAUUAGGUUUAAAGGGUGUGUAGGCGGAUGAUUAAGUCAGUGGUGAAAUCUCACAGCUUAACUGUGAAACUGCCAUUGAUACUGGUUAUCUUGAGUGUAGUUGAAGUAGGCGGAAUGUGUAAUGUAGCGGUGAAAUGCUUAGAUAUUACACAGAACACCGAUUGCGAAGGCAGCUUACUAAGCUAAAACUGACGCUGAUGCACGAAAGCGUGGGGAGCGAACAGGAUUAGAU
rnacentral:rRNA from 1 species